AUUCCAUGAUGGGGACAUUCUAGGAUGUAGUCUUGGAAGCGCUCCCAUACCUCUGGAAUGGAUUCAUCAUAUUGUUGCUGAAAACUUGUAAUCUUUCCACAGAGAGA
rnacentral:snoRNA from 1 species